CCUACGGGAGGCAGCAGUGAGGAAUAUUGGUCACUGUCCGUAAGGUUGAACCAGCCAAGUAGCGUGAGGGAAGACUGCCCUAUGGGUUGUAAACCUCUUUUAUGCGGGGAUAAAGGUGUCCACGUGUGGAUGUUUGCAGGUACCGCAUGAAUAAGGACCGGCUAAUUCCGUGCCAGCAGCCGCGGUAAUACGGAAGGUCCGGGCGUUAUCCGGAUUUAUUGGGUUUAAAGGGAGCGUAGGCCGGUCUUUAAGCGUGCCGGGAAAUUUUGUGGCUCAACCAUGAGAGUGCGGCGCGAACUGGAGACCUUGAGUGCGCGGAAGGCAGGCGGAAUUCGUGGUGUAGCGGUGAAAUGCUUAGAUAUCACGAAGAACCCCGAUUGCGAAGGCAGCCUGCCGCAGCGUUACUGACGCUGAAGCUCGAAAGCGCGGGUAUCGAACAGGAUUAGAUACCCCUGUAGUC
rnacentral:rRNA from 1 species